UGGUCACUGUGAUCUACAAAAUCAUGAAACCAUCAACCCAAAUCAAAAUUAGUUACCAACACUCAAAGCCGUGUGCGCGCACACAGGUAUAUAUAUCAGCAUAUUAAAGAACCAAUGCGCACUCUACUAUACUCAUAGGCCUCGUUUGAUCAUUGUGAUAGAAUUGGUAGGAUUAGUACUGAGGUGGGAUUAGGAUUGGGAUGAUAAGUGAGUAGGGAUUAGUAAUGAGGGCAAUAGUCCGACGGGGGUAUUUAUUUUGCACGGUAUUAGACAGUAGGAUUAGUAAAUAUCAGGGUAAUGUGGUCAAUAGUGUCCAAAAAUUAUGGAAUUUUUUCAUGAAAUUUCAUACUUACCCCUUUUUUACAUAAAUUAUACAAAUCUUAAGGGUAAAAAUGGCAAUUUGAGGCUUAGAAGAGGUGGGGGAUUGUUAAUCCCAACCCCCCAUAGGAUUAACAAUCCUACAAAUGUGGAUUAGUAGUCCCGGCCGACUAAUAGUCCGGCCAUUAAUUGUCAAACUAAACGGGAUUAGGAGCCCCACGGAUCCUAAUCCCAAUCCCCCCUCCCUAACCCGGUUUCAACCAGGCCAUAAAGUUAUAAAAUUUAGUGCUCUCAAAGGUUCAUUUUAUUUGUCCAUUUAAGAGUUCCAACUUUAAGUAGUUAUUAAUUGGAACUCAAAUUCAACUAUUCAUAUGUGAUUACCAACGUGCCCCCUUUAUUUUUCAUGCUUUGAUGUUUCAAAUUGGACAACCGUUUUGAGAUAUCCUUAAAUAAAAAGAUGAACAAAAAAAAUAUUAGGACAAUAGGGAGUAAUUAAGAAUCAAUAGCAAAAACAUCCGAUUCUAAUAUUUACGAAUGCAACAAUACUACUAUCCAUAAAAAUUAGCCAUAAGAAAUGCCCCACAAAAAGUACAUUUAUAAAACACAUGGAUGUGACGUUAAAAGCAUCCAUGAGAGAGAGUGAAGCAACUUCUCCUCUUUUUUAUUGUUAAUUUUUAAUUUUUUUGAUAGGAAACAAUUCAUUUACAUUUUUCGCUUUCCUAUUUUCAAGCACAAAAUUAGAAUCAUCAAUAGAUUAAGGCUCAGUUUAGCACCAAUUUUUUUUAGCUUUGUUUUUGGCUUUUUUUCUUAAAAUAAGUAAAAAAAAUAAUUAGAAUUGGCUUUUUUGAUUUUUUGUUUUUGUUUUUGUUUUUUGGCUUAGUUUUAGUUAAAAUAAAGUCACAAAAGCAAAAAAGUCAAAAAAUCUUAACCUUUUUGAUAGCAAGUUUAAAUAAAACUUGGCUUUUAAGCAUUACCAAACGGAGCCUUAAUUGUCCUUGUAUAAUGGAGUACCUUAUCACCUAUAUCAUACUGGGUAGGUUGUAUAGGGUCAUUUUGUAUAAAUUCGGUACCCAGGGGGUUCUGUUUGCAAUUUAAAUUAAAUUAUGUAUUUUUAGAUGGUUGGGUAAUUACGCGCGCGAGAGUGGCCAGAUGGGGUGUGGGGGUGUGGGUCGGUUAUCUUCAGAUUAACAAAGUUGGGGUUACUGAUUGCGCGCGCGCGCACACAGAGAGAGAGAGAGGAGAAGAAGAAAAAGAAGAAGAGAUGGAGUGGCGGAACAGCAGCUAUGGAGAUUAACAUUGGCGCUCAAGGGCAGCCGUGACGGAGCGGAGUGAGCCGAAUGGCAGUGGCAGUGGCAGUGGCGGUAACAACGUUUCCGACCACUGGAUGUAGGUUUCUUGUUCCCUUUUCCUUAUGUAUUGGCUGUUGGGUUCAGCAAUGGGGAAUGGUUUUGAUGUUGUUUGUUUGUGGAAUAAUGCAUUGAUAUCAUCAUUUGGAUGGAUGAAAAAGAAGAAUAUAAAAAGGAGAGAGAGAAUACAAACCAAUCUGGUUUUAGAGUGAGAGACCGGUGGUUCUCCAAGAUAACAUGAAAUUUUAUAUGGUGUGGUCGAGUCCAUGGGUCUAAUGUGCAUUCUAGUGCGUUUGGCCUAUUCGGGUGGACCUUUGACGCUAGUAAUGACCUUGCUUAUAUUUCUCGGCGUGCAGAAUCCAUUUCUGAGAUUAUUUUCAGUAGAUUUAUAUCCGAAAGUUACGAUCUAAAAUUGGUUGAUUUACGGGGUCCAUUGUGAAGAUCAUUGGUUAAACUUUACUUGAUCAUUGUGAAUUUUCAGUAUGUUGUUCCUAGCACUACAGUUGGUUUAUCUAACGGUCAAGAAAUGAUUAUUUGGUAAUUGAAUAUUCAUUUGAGAUAUAAUUGUUUAUGACAUGCUUCCAAACGAGGAUGAAUCAUGGUGGUUUUGGGUUAGGAAUUACUAUUAGGAGGGAAACAUAUAGUUUGACAUUUCAAUGUAUUUGGACGGCAAUUUGUGGAUUCCAGAUGAGUGAUUUAGCAUGCUACAUACUUUUGAAAAAUUACUCGUAUACCAAAUUUUAUCUAUGAUAAAAAUAAAAAUAAAGUGUUAUCUUUUAUUAUUAAUAUGCUAAUGUUGGUUUUUAAUAUACAUCGUGACGUAUAUACCAAAUUUUAUCUAUGAUAAAAACAAAAAUAAAGUGUUAUCUUUUAUUAUUAAUAUGCUAAUGUUGGUUUUUAAUAUACAUCGUGACGUAUUAUUUAUUUUGGAUAUGGUCUUUUAUUUAUUACACUUUGCUUCCCAUUUCUUGAUGGUGAGAUUUACGAGAUUCUGUAUAUUUGGGACCAGUUUGAAGUCUAAGAGGCACGCCCUCUGUAGAGUUCACUCUGGUUGCUAUGGAAAAAGCUUGGUCGUUGUGAUGGGACCGGGAUGACCCUAGUGCUCAACGGUUUAAGGAACAGUCCUGGUAUGUUCAGGUUAAUUGAAUCGGUUCGGAAAAAAUACCUGGGUGUCACCCCACAGUAACUCUAAGUACGAUAUUGGAGCCAACCAAAUUUAUGCCCAGAGACUUGAUUUGGCACUUUAUAUAUGUAUAUUGUUUAUUUCCGUAGACUAUUGAGAUGAUCAUGUUGUUAUCACACUGAUAUUGUGCUUAAUUUAAGAGUCUUGAGAUUUUUAUAUGUAUUAUAUUGUGAUGCCAAUUAUAAAUCUUGAUAAAAUGAUUAUGUUCUACUAAUUCCUUUUUUUAAAUUCUUGUUUUAGAACUCCAUCCGACUAUACAUGCUUACUGCUUACUGAGUUUUUAAGCUGACGUUGUUUUUACUAUUUUUAGGUUAGUUUCUUGGACAGUAGACGAGGAUUAUGUGGCAUAAUUGGUACCCACUAUGUGGACCUCUAGAUACAAUAGUUUUCAUGUAGUAGUGAGUUGGUACAGCAUUUAUUUUUAAAUUGUUGACAAACACUUACAGUCUUGAUUGGGAGAUUUGAGUUGAGAUAGAAAAAAGUGUCAAAUCUUCAUUCCACUCAGGAUUCACAGUCUUCUUCAUUACUCGAGCCUUCGAUUUCUAGUUCAAACAGAACAACCAAAAAAUAUCACUAAAUGCAAGGGAAAAAAAAGAAAAUACAAAUUUAAUUUCAAUUAGUAUCAUAUACCAUUGCACUAAUAAGGCCAACUGACAAACAGCUUACCCAUCCCAAAAGCAAAGAGAAUAUACAACAUUAAAAACCGAUACAAGGAAAAAUAAUAAUAAUUGGACAACUCUAGUAAAAUCAGAUUGCAGAUAAUUGAAUUUUGCCAAAGUAUUAGAAGGUUAACUCACAAGAAAUUUCUCCAAUAUUGGACACUUGGAUUCGAGUUAAUUCAUAUCGUGCGGAGCCUGCAUUUGAGUCUUGUCAUUGUGAAGUUUAUUAUCCCCUUCCUCUGUUCUCAUCUAUCGAUUGUAAAAUCAAAAACUCACAAAAAUCUUCUAUAAUAUUGGAAACUUGGGGUCGAAAAACCAAAAACACUACCUAACCAAACAGGUGAGAAAUUAUCCCUACUCUCCCAAAAGUACCAAAACAAAAGGGGCAAAAUCAGCAAAUCUCACUUUCUGGCUAUCUUUCUGAGGGGCAAACUAUUUGAUAGCUAGCAUUUUGAUGCAAAUGAUUAACUAUAUGGUGGGUUCUUUCUAGUUGAUGAUAUUAUAUGGAUUGGGAAUUCCAAAUAUAAAUCCAUCAACUUGGUAUGUCAAAUAACAAAGUGAUGAGAUUGAAGAGUCAUAUCUGCCAUAUUGAAAUUGAAGGGAAAUUCUUGGAUUACCUGUUCGUUUGUUGAUGGCUAACUGGUUUCUUCCACAAGUCUUGGAUGCAAAUUUGAAUCCCUAAUUAUGCAAGUUGGUAAGCAGUGCUUUCAAGAAAGAGAAGAGGAAAGAGGGAGGAAAUAUGGGGGAGAGAAAAGUCAAUUGUCAACACUUUGAACAGAUCAUGCUAUCUACCAAUUUUCUUCUUUUCUGACUUG
rnacentral:lncRNA from 1 species